rnacentral:rRNA from 1 species
UGGGGAAUAUUGGACAAUGGGGGCAACCCUGAUCCAGCCAUGCCGCGUGAGUGAAGAAGGCCUUAGGGUUGUAAAGCUCUUUCAGUCGUGACGAUGAUGACGGUAGCGACAGAAGAAGCCCCGGCUAACUCCGUGCCAGCAGCCGCGGUAAUACGGAGGGGGCAAGCGUUGUUCGGAUUUACUGGGCGUAAAGGGCGCGUAGGCGGGGUAUCAAGUUAGGGGUGAAAGGCCCGGGCUCAACCUGGGAACUGCCACUAAAACUGAUUGUCAGGAGUCCGGAAGAGGAUGGCGGAAUUCCUAGUGUAGAGGUGAAAUUCGUAGAUAUUAGGAAGAACACCGGUGGCGAAGGCGGCCAUCUGGUCCGGCACUGACGCUGAGGCGCGAAAGCGUGGGGAGCAAACAGGAUUAGAUACCCCCGUAGUCC